UACAGAGGUCGCAAGCGUUAAUCGGAUUUACUGGGCGUAAAGCGUGUGUAGGUGGUUGUUCAAGUCGGUUGUGAAAUCCCCGGGCUCAACCUGGGAACUGCUUCCGAGACUGAGCGACUAGAGAUCGGUAGAGGGCGGUGGAAUUUCCGGUGUAGCGGUGAAAUGCGUAGAGAUGUGGAGGAACACCAGUGGCGAAGGCGACUCUUUGGCCUGUAACUGACACUGAGGCGCGAAAGCGUGGGGAGCGAACAGG
rnacentral:rRNA from 1 species